rnacentral:rRNA from 1 species
ACGAACGCUGGCGGCGCGCUUAACACAUGCAAGUCGAACGGAAAGGCCUGCUUUCCCUUGUGGAUUGCGGGUACUCGAGUGGCGAACGGGUGAGUAACACGUGAGUGAUCUGCCCCCAACUUGGGUAUAAGCCUGGGAAACUGGGUCUAAUUCCCGAUAGGACUGCAGGGUGGUGCCUGUGGUGGAAAACGAUUUUCUAGUGGUUGGGGAUGAGCUCGCGGCCUAUCAGCUUGUUGGUGGGGUAAUGGCCUACCAAGGCGGCGACGGGUAGCCGGCCUGAGAGGGUGGACGGCCCCAUUGGGACUGAGAUACGGCCCAGACUCCUACGGGAGGCAGCAGUGGGGAAUAUUGCACAAUGGGCGGAAGCCUGAUGCAGCGACGCCGCGUGGGGGAUGACGGCCUUCGGGUUGUAAACUCCUUUCGACCGCGAGGAAGCCACCUGGUUGGAAGGGUGGUGACGGUAGUGGUAGAAGAAGCACCGGCUAACUACGUG